rnacentral:rRNA from 1 species
GAUGAACGCUGGCGGCGUGCCUAAUACAUGCAAGUCGAGCGAACGGACGAGAAGCUUGCUUUUCUGAUGUUAGCGGCGGACGGGUGAGUAACACGUGGAUAACCUACCUAUAAGACUGGGAUAACUUCGGGAAACCGGAGCUAAUACCGGAUAAUAUUUUGAACCGCAUGGUUCAAAAGUGAAAGACGGUCUUGCUGUCACUUAUAGAUGGAUCCGCGCUGCAUUAGCUAGUUGGUAAGGUAACGGCUUACCAAGGCAACGAUGCAUAGCCGACCUGAGAGGGUGAUCGGCGACACUGGAACUGAGACAAGGUCCAGACUCCUACGGGAGGCAGCAGUAGGGAAUCUUCCGCAAUGGGCGAAAGCCUGACGGAGCAACGCCGCGUGAGUGAUGAAGGUCUUCGGAUCGUAAAACUCUGUUAUUAGGGAAGAACAUAUGUGUAAGGAACUGUGCACAGCUUGACGGUACCUAAUCAGAAAGCCACGGCUAACUACGUG